rnacentral:lncRNA from 10 species
ACUUCCGCUGGCGUCAGGCGGGUGGGCUGCUGCGAUCACUUCCCGGUUGGGGCGCCGAGCUCCGGAGUCGGCCGCCAGCCUUUGGGCCCCACGCUCCGGGUCUGGUGCGCGGUCUGGCCGCGCUCGGGCCCUCGCCAAAUGAGAGCGCAGCGCCUCUCCGCCUUCGGAUCCAGAGAAAGAGCUUGUUGCUGCCUCUAAAAGGUUGGAGCCUUAGUAAGCGGUUCCUGCCUUUCCUGCACAGACCAGACCGCCGGGUGCUGGUCUGCGCUCUGCCGCGCGCCGACUGGGACAGCCCACCCACGAGAUCCUUGUUCCUGAAAUCCCUUUCCUUCCCUCAUCUGCCAAGAAAACUUUCAACUUUUGGGCUCUCCGCGCCUCCCAAGCUUCCUCGAAUCCCUGGGCCCUUGACUGUUCUGCCCUGAUGGCACUUGGUGAGAGAUCCAUUGAGAGCCCUUUCCGUGCCUUCCUGAAUAUUGAUAUGUUUUCCAGCCUCUCCUCCUGCGCUGGCCCAAGGACUCAUUUUCCGUCCCUGCUUCCUCACUAAAAAGAGGGUGCCCAAUAAUUGCUUGUUCCAUACAGAAGGCAGGGAGGCCGUCUCUAGGUUUUCUCCCACUCAGAUCUGCUGUCCUCACAGCCACCUCCCCAAGAGGAAUGAAGGUAUUUCUUUUUUUUUUUUCUUUUUUUUCUCUGAGACGGAGCUUCACUCUGUCGCCCAGGCUGGAGUGCAGUGACGCGAUCUCGGCUCACUGCAACCUCUGCCUCCCGAGUAGCUGGGAUUACAGGCGCCUGCCACCACGCCCGGCUAAUUUUUUGUAUUUUUAGUAGAGACGGGGUUUCACCAUCUUGGCCAGGCUGGUCUCGAACUCCUGACCUCAGGUGAUCCGCCCGCCUCGGCCUCCCAAAGUGCUGGGAUUACAGGCGUGAGCCACCGCGCCCUGCCGGAAUGAAGAUAUUUCUGUUAGUGCGAUUUUUGCGCCAAUCCCUUUGCUCUUUCAAAUAAGCAUUACCGUACCCAUUUUAGCGGUGAGGCAACUGAAGCCCAGAGAGGUUAAAUAACUUGCCCAAAGCCUCACAGCAAAGUUGAGGAAGUAAAACUGGGCCUGGAAUCCACUCGUCUGAUCCCCUGGCACAUGACGCAAGGCUUGACCUUAGAGGGACUCGUUUCCAGACAGAGCUCUGGCAAAGGAGUGUCUUGGGCAGCUUAGGAGUAGAAGAGGAAAGGUGAAUGGAAACCAGGCCUUGGGUUAUGAGCUGCGCAGGAUUUUCCAGCAUCUCAGAUGCAGGCGUUUAGAGAAAGAGAUAUAAUGGAGCAGGCCCUACUCAGAGCCACGAAAAGGAAUGAGGACAGUUGGCUCUAACUCAAAACAAAAAUAGGGUAAACCCAAUCAGUCAAGCGCAGCAACCUGCUCCGUGGCGAUCUGUGACUCAUCAGAAGCUGAGGCUCUCACCAGGACUUUCUAAUGAGCUUCGCUGUUGGCUACGACCGCGGUCACUUCACUUCAGCCCUACUCCUGGCCUGGGGAAAUGGGCAGGCCCCCUAGUAGCUCGGGGUGGGGAGACGGGUGGAGAGGAAGGAGGGGCGAAAAGGGAAGGCGCGAAAUCUACAAAUGUUUAAGCCAGCUGGAACUCCGAUGCCUCUUUGCCUUUUAGGGAAAUUGACUCGACUCGGAACUCGAGGACCUUUCACAAGAGACCACUGGGUUAGGGGGCAGAGCUGGUAAUAGAAUCCAGCGCUCCGAACCCUGAAUCAUGUCCUCUUUUUGCUGCUGAGGCUCAGGCCACAGCACCCCAAAUUAUGACUGUAGAAUACCAAAAUAUGCUAUCCCAAAAUACACUUGUUUGGCACAUUUCAAGCUGGUUAUUCUGAGAAACUGCAGACACGGGAGUAGCUCUGAAAAGCUGUCCUUUUGUAAAGCAAAUUUACAUCUAUAAAGGAAGUCCACAUAGUAAAAGUAUCUGUGUCAGGAAGGCAGCUGCUCAGAGAACUUUUAUUACAUGAGAGACUUUACAUAACAAGGCAACUUUUUUUUUUUUUUUUUUUUUUUUUUUUGAGGCAGAG